rnacentral:rRNA from 1 species
GACAGAGGGUGCAAACGUUGUUCGGAAUUACUGGGCGUAAAGCGAGUGUAGGCGGUUCGAAAAGUCGGGUGUGAAAGCCCCGGGCUCAACCCGGGAAGUGCACUCGAAACUCUCGAGCUAGAGUAUCGGAGAGGUUGGUGGAAUUCUCGGUGUAGAGGUGAAAUUCGUAGAUAUCGGGAGGAACACCAGUGGCGAAGGCGGCGACCUGGGCCAAUACUGACGCUGAGGUGCGAAAAGCGUGGGGAGCAAACAGGG